rnacentral:lncRNA from 1 species
UGUCUGUUCUAACACGUGCCAUUUGGGAUCCCUUGGAAUCUUCAUGUACAGAACUGGUUGCUGCCUCGUUGAGUCGGUGGGGACAGAAUAGCUCCUGGUUGACAGCAUGGGUUGUGCAGAAGGACGGAUCCUGCAGACAUCAAUAUCUGGCUUUGAGUGGCACAAAGAAAUAAAGGAACGUGGAUUCAGACCUCACUGGGAUGCUUGGCAAUUCUAAUUCUACCCCAGACUGCAAAUGGACACACAACUGUUGUGACUUUUGUUGAAGAGGAGAAGGAUGGUGAAGGUCUCUUUAGUCAAUAAUCUCUUUGCUGAAAUUGCUUCGGGCAGCACAGAAGCUGGAUUCAGAAGCACACAGGUCUGGGGAUGCAGGCUUCGGCCAGCCUGAUGCAAGGAAAGACUGCCAUCUCGUGGUCAGCUCAAUCCUGGCACCUUGGUGAGGGUCCAGGCUGCAGAAAACCAGGCUUGGGGAGGAAAUGGUGCUGCAAACUGGAUUUCUGCCGGACAGUGUGGAUGCCCUUAGAAAACACCCAGAAAAGAGCUGAGUGCCCCCCAAGGUAGGCUUCAGUGAAUCCUCUGCAGGUGUGUUGUCAUCCCUUGAGCC